rnacentral:rRNA from 1 species
UACGGGGGGGGCAAGCGUUGUUCGGAAUUACUGGGCGUAAAGGGUUCGUAGGUGGCUCGCUAAGUCAGACGUGAAAUCCCUCAGCUUAACUGGGGAACUGCGUCUGAGACUGGCAAGCUCGAGUGCAGGAGAGGAACGCGGAAUUCCAGGUGUAGCGGUGAAAUGCGUAGAUAUCUGGAGGAACACCAAAGGCGAAGGCAGCGUCCUGGGAAGCAUCUGACGCUCAGGUGCGAAAGCUAGGGGAGCGAACGGG